rnacentral:lncRNA from 1 species
AGGCCCUGCAGUCAUGUUAUGUUUUCGAUGUCGUGUGGCAAACCAAAGAUAUAAAUCUGGUGAGAGCAGGCAGUGUCAGCCAGAUUGGUCAAGCGAGCCUUGGACCCGUUCUCCUGACUUGGUUCUUCAUGAUCUUCAUAAGGAUGCAAACGUUGACUCUUUUGAGUUUCCUGCUGUGCACCAGCCAGGUGGUAUCUGUUUACCUGUCUAGGACACUGAAACAGAAUGCCGAGGAGUCUCCCUCCCCAACCAAGGACAGCAACUCCACUUCCACUAGUUUCUCUAUGGAGUCUCCCUCCCCAACCAAGGACAGCAACUCCACUUCCACUAGUUUCUCUAUGGAGUCUCCCUCCCCAACCAAGGACAGCAACUCCACUUCCACCAGUUUCUCUAUGGAGUCUCCCUCCCCAACCAAGGAGAGUGACUGUAAUUCCAAAAGUUUCUUGUUACUCCUGACUAAGUGUAUCAAGUUCCCCAGAGUGACCGGUGUGCUGAGAGACAUAGGGAAUCGUUCUUCUUCACCAUGGGAAUAUGCGAGGUACAGCAAUGAGGACAUGGUCAAUGGAUGGUUCAUAGAGCAAGCCCAGUGCAAGACAAAACAUUGCAAUAGCCAAUACAAUUCCGUCCCCUUAAACUACGAGUUCCCCGUUGUCUUCCGCCGACAGGAUCGCAUGGAACUGGUGAUGAUCACUCUCACCGCAGGCUGCACUUGUGUACGCAGGAAAGAGCAGCACUGAACAUCUGCACGCACUAAAUACAUCAGCUCACCCACAAAAAAAGAAGAAUAAUUCUCCAUUACUGCCCUCUCAGACUGACCACAAAGCAGUUCCAUUUCAAAGAGCAUUUCACAUAUCAUCGAACACCUUCAUAGAUACCCAUUUAUUCAUUUAGCUGAUGCUUUUCUCCAAAGCACCUUACCAUGUUAAAGUACUUAAUGAUUAUAUACCCAUUUGUACAGCUGAGUACUUUUAGUGGAGCAAUUUUAGAGUAAAUACCUCACUCAAGGGUACUACAACGGGAGCUGAGAAUCAAACCAAUGACUUUUGGGUUCAACGGUAGUAGCUCUUACCGCUAUGUUCCUAGGUGUCCCUGUUUGUACAUAGAGUUGGUAUGGAGCUUUAUUGUUCAUAAUUAUAGUCAGGUCACAGUCAUAAAAGUGCUGAGGAUCUUUGCGUGGCUUCAUUAAGUCCACACAGCAGGUCAGAGCACUUACGUGGACCAGAGCUGAACCCCUUUAUUCAGCAGGUCACUAAAAAUCAGUUAUUUGGUCCGGAGCUCAUGGUUACGACGUUAGACCCCCUCCCCAAGGAACUUUGACCCAGGAUCAUACACAAAAUUGAACACCAGCUGGUACUCAAUGUGAUCCGUCAACAAGAGUAAGACCUCAGAAAGGACACAAAUUAUUUUUAAAGCUGCCAACUUUGGUUCAUGUGAAAUUCUAAAGUCAGAACUGAAAAAUCUGUAGUAUUUAAGGACCUAUGAACUAACAAGAAAAAUCCUGCCG